CCAAACGAGCCUAGUGAUAGCUGGUUACUCAAGAAACGGAUUUUAGUCCAACCUAAUGUUAAUCAAAUAGAACAAAAUUUAACCAUAACUUUAGAGUAAUUCAAAUAAGGUACAGCCUAUUUGACACAGGAUACAACCUCAAUUAACGGGUUCUAUAUCUAGCACAACUUAAUCAAGUGGGCCCGAAAGCAGCCACCUUUCAAAAAGCGUCAAAGCUUAGUCAUUCCCUACUACAAUCCCUAAAUUUUUACCCAACCCUUUUACAGUAAUGAGUAAUUCUAUACCCCUAUAGAACUUUUUAUGUUAAAACUAGUAAUAAGAAGAUGACCCUUCUCUUAAAUGCAAACGUACACCAGAAAGGACACACCACUGGUAAUUAACACCCAUGAGCUGCUAAUAACAACGACAUGGAAAACCUCUAUUUUUUAUGAUGUUAACCUAACACAAGAGCAUUAAAAGAAAGAUUUAAAGGAAAAGAAGGAACUCGGCAAACAUUAACCCCGCCUGUUUACCAAAAACAUCGCCCCUCGAACAAACAUGAGGGGUCCAGCCUGCCCAGUGACUCUGUUCAACGGCCGCGGUAUCCUGACCGUGCAAAGGUAGCGUAAUCACUUGUCCUUUAAAUGAGGACUGGUAUGAACGGCACCACGAGGGUUAUACUGUCUCCUUUUUCUAAUCAGUGAAACUGAUCUCCCCGUGAAGAAGCGGGGAUAUUUAUAUAAGACGAGAAGACCCUAUGGAGCUUUAAACGAAAUGACAGCCGCCAACCCCCUCAAACUUCAGAGCACCCACCUUUAUUCUGGCGGCAUGAUUAUUAGUUUUAGGUUGGGGUGACCACGGAGAAUAACUCAACCUCCGUGUUGAAAGAGGACCUUCCCCUAAGCAAAAAGCCACACCUUGCUGCAUCAAUAAAUUGACACCCAUUGACCCAAUAUUUUGACCAACGAACCAAGUUACCAUAGGGAUAACAGCGCAAUCCAUUUUGAGAGCCCAUAUCGUCUAUUUAAGGUUACGACCUCGAUGUUGGAUCAGGGUAUCCCAGUAGUGCAGCCGCUACUAACG
rnacentral:rRNA from 1 species